GACGAACGCUGGCGGCGUGCCUAAUACAUGCAAGUAGAACGCUGAAGAGAGGAGCUUACUCUUCUUGGAUGAGUUGCGAACGGGUGAGUAACGCGUAGGUAACCUGCCUUGUAGCGGGGGAUAACUAUUGGAAACGAUAGCUAAUACCGCAUAACAAUGGAUGACACAUGUCAUUUAUUUGAAAGGGGCAAUUGCUCCACUACAAGAUGGACCUGCGUUGUAUUAGCUAGUAGGUGAGGUAAUGGCUCACCUAGGCGACGAUACAUAGCCGACCUGAGAGGGUGAUCGGCCACACUGGGACUGAGACACGGCCCAGACUCCUACGGGAGGCAGCAGUAGGGAAUCUUCGGCAAUGGGGGCAACCCUGACCGAGCAACGCCGCGUGAGUGAAGAAGGUUUUCGGAUCGUAAAGCUCUGUUGUAAGUCAAGAACGGGUGUGAGAGUGGAAAGUUCACACUGUGACGGUAGCUUACCAGAAAGGGACGGCUAAUUACGUG
rnacentral:rRNA from 1 species